AAAGCCCAAAAUCUUAUUCGCGCUCAUUUUUCCCCCUUCAACCAAAAAUACCCAAAUCUCAAAUCCCUAAUCUUUUGAACCAAAAAUCUCCAUCUCUCUCUCUCUCUCUCUCUCUCGCGACUGUGAGCAGGGCAAACGAUAGCAUUGAACGACGGCGAGCAGCGGCAGAUAAUGGUGUCGAGCGAUGGCAGCAACAAACGACGGCGUCGAGCGACAAUGUAAUUAACCCUAUUUAUUAUAUACAUUCAAUUGAAGCCACAUUAACCCUAUUUAUUUGAUCAAUACUAUAAUCUCUCUCUCUCUCUCUCUCUCUCUCUCUUUCUCUCUUCCUCUCUGCAUCUCUCUCGACGAUAUCAUCGGUCAAUCCUUUGUGGUAAGUGCUCAUCAUCGAUUCACCUCUGUUUGAUUCAUUUUAUUAUAUUUCUAGAUCCUUCGCAGUAAGGGUUCAUUGAUCGAUUCACCCUAUGAAUGUCAAUCUCUACAUGCUGGCCAUUAAUCCUAACCCUAAGAAUGUUCAUCCUCCUCUUCUGUGGAUCCCACCUCGACCACUUCUUUGAACUCUGCUUCCUCUGGAAUGAUGAAAUGGAGGAUUGGUACAAUGUGUUGAUCACGCUUGCCAAUCAGUUGACUGCUGAUGGAUUUUAUUGUAACUUCAAUGGAAAGCGGUUCAAAUCAUCGGAGGCUGAGGUCGUCAUAUAUAUUUUCUGAGGUCUAUCAUAUAUAUUUUGCUCAAUCAGCGGAGAGCUAUGAGUUGGCAGAAGAAGCCUAUUCACCUCUUCCCAGAUUCGUUGAAUUGCCUACUUGCCCUGUUUGUCUUGUGUGUACUAUUAGGUGCUAUCACAUUCCCUGCCGAUGUUGAACGGUUGAAAGAUCUUGGAGUUUGUGGAGUGAUCACCUUAACUGAGCCAUAUGAGACUUUGUUUCCAACAUCUCUAUAUCAAGCUUAUGGUAUUAAUCAUUUGGUGCUUCCAACAAGAGACUACCUCUUUGCUCCGUCAUUGAGUGAUAUAUGCUAAGCUGUGGACUUCAUUCAUGAUAUUUCCCGAGUAGAAGUUUGCUUCUUGUAGAAUGCAUGCCUAUAAAGAAUGCGACUAACUUUUGUUUUUGUUACCCAUGGAGAAUGAUGAAGAAAUUUUUUGUUUUUGGUUUAUGUUAUUUUGAAUUGUGAACAACAUUAUGUAUUUAAACAUUAUAUAUGUACUAUGGAAUAUUAUGUAGUGGGGUAAUUUUGCUUAUGUAUAGUUAUGAAUGCAAGAAUAUUUUUAUUA